rnacentral:rRNA from 1 species
UACGUAGGGUGCAAGCGUUGUCCGGAAUUACUGGGCGUAAAGAGCUCGUAGGUGGUUUGUCGCGUUGUUCGUGAAAACUCACAGCUCAACUGUGGGCGUGCGGGCGAUACGGGCAGACUUGAGUACUGCAGGGGAGACUGGAAUUCCUGGUGUAGCGGUGGAAUGCGCAGAUAUCAGGAGGAACACCGGUGGCGAAGGCGGGGCUCUGGGCAGUAACUGACGCUGAGGAGCGAAAGCGUGGGGAGCGAACAGG